rnacentral:lncRNA from 1 species
AGUGUUCAGCUUUAGCCAUGUAAUUGUGAUAAGAAUAUGAUUUGUCAUGUUGAACGCCAUGACCAAGGGAAUGUGUCAAUGUCUUCCUUGAAUGACAUAGGUUCCAAAAUCAUUUUUCAUGAUUUGAUUUUCAAGUUCCUCUGAAGACACUGUGAUUAUCCUACCCAUGGGAGUGAGUAAAGUCCAUAGAGGGUUAUGAGAUGCCCUUCAAGAGAACACAGUGAUCCAGAAAAGAUGGUUGUUGCAGUCACCCUAGUAACAAGGGUAGGGAAAGUACUGUUCAAGGUCCCUGUGUCCUGGGAUUGCUUGCUUACUAUAUGCAGUGACAUGCUUGAGUACCAGACUGCUGAGAAAGAAGCACAGGUAACUUGCAGGCACCCACUUGAUGAGGAUCAGAGCCUUGGGAUGAUAUUCUUCCCUCAGUUUCAAUCUGGUAUGCGGUGGAGUGGAAGCCUCCCACACCAGUGGUGGUUGUCAAUGAAUCGAGCAUGUUGUAUGCUUGCAGAACAUGCUGUAUCCUUUUAGCAUGGUCUUGUUCCUUUUCCCUUCAUGGAUACAGAGUGAUCAAGAAGUUGGUUGAUGUACACUUAUGGAAGGCCAGGGAAAUACCACCAUGGGUACAAGCUGAUCACUAGGCCAGAUGUCUGUAUCCAGGUCAGAAGGAGCCUCUGGCUAACCUGGUAUUAACAUGUUUCAUCACCAGGUAUCCUGCCAAAAGGUCUUGGGAGAUGCUGCUACCCUCAGCCAUGCAACACCUUCUUCUUUACUGAUGUACAUUGUGGGAGGGCACUUGGGCACACUUUGCUUUUCCCCACUGAUUCACCUGUGUGCCAGUGAAGGUGAAAUCUUCCCAGUGGCUGCUGGUAAGUGUCCCAUUUUCAUGUAGGGGAACUGACCCGUAAUGUAGUUUUCAUGUUGGCUAGGUGGAUGGGGAGGCCAGGAUUCUUGCUAACAUCCACUAUGAAUAUUGAGCCUUAGAACUUCUGCAGGUUUCCCUUCAAGUGAGAAAGAAUUCUCUUACCAUAUUUUUUCUAGGAAACACCCCUGAGACUGAGGUGUUAAAGCAAAGGGGCCACAGUCUAACACAGUGACCUCCACAAUACUCACAUGGGGGACUCGCAUGGACUAAAUCAGUAUUCUCUGAUGUCAUUUUCACAGGGACAGUCAUGUCACAGUGAGCAGCACAGUAUAAUCAGGUGGAUGCAUACAGACAUCCAGGUAAGUGUGGGCUUGUGCCCAGGCCACCAAUGAGGUCCUGCCACUUCCACAUGUGUAAGUGACAAAGGUGUGGCUUGGCAUUUGUAGCCCACUGCUUGAUUUGAAGUUGCUCAAGUAAGGAAGGAUGGAAUCCACAGCAAUGCCACUCUCUGGGAGGGGACACUUGGCACAGCUUAGGUGAAAUGGAUGGUAAAAGAGUGAGCACUGAAGAAGACAUGGUGUCUAGGUUUGGGUGCUUGCUGUGUCCCAGCCCGGGGAGCUGUAGCACAGGAGAGUCUGCAGGGGUCCACUUAGGAGAGGUUUGACUGUGGGGACAGGAUUGUUUUCAUGCAGUUAUCCCAGCAGCCAGGUACAUUUCCAGUGUGAGUCAGUGGUUUUUGUGGGAAUUGAAAUGCUCAUUGACUCAACACUGACUUUGUCUUCUCCAUGUUUUCUGCAGGUUCCUUCAAGGGAAGAUGAGCAGACUAUGGCUGGAACUGCAUGCAGGUGUCAGAUUGGCUAUUGAUGGUGAACCUCUGAUUCUGCCCUCUUCAUCGACAAGUGUGGUGCUCUGUGCCUUCUUGCUGUCACGAGGAAGCAUCAGAUGCUAUUGGUUCCCUUCCAGGAGAGAUGAUGUGUAUUUCACACUUGUCCCACUAGGGGAGUAAGCAGGGCAUGAGGUCACUGUGACAGAGUGGGUCCCUGAGAUGGGGAUUGGAGUGAAUUGGGAGGUAUCUCCUCAAAGGCAUCCAUUACCAUUGCAUGGCUAGUUUGUUGACAAGAAGGAGGGAGGAGCGUGGUGGUGGUGAUGGAACCUGAAUGAUAGGAUGACAUGGGAGUUGUACAGGUAGACACGGAGGAGACCACAAAGGGUAGAAUCUCUUGUGCUUCUUUUCCAGUGAGGGAGUCCACAGCUCAUGGUGAGCCCUGAACAUCACCAGGAUCUGUAUAAGGACAGCCAUGGACCUUCACUGCAGCAUAGGCAGGGAAUAUCCAUGGCCUUCACUAAGUGAUAUUGGGGUCCCUGAUGUGGAGUCGUGGGGUAGUGGGGUUGCUGUGACUUUGCUUUAGGUUCUGGAGCCCAGGAGAGCAAUGAAGGAAGAACUGAGCCAAUCCACUGACCCUGAAUUUUUCCUUCGUGUAUAGUGAAGUAAAAUGAAUGUUGAUCUUCUCUACAUCCUUGGAGUGCUUAUUCUUUGGUCCAGUGGUGUUGUGAUGGACCACCCUGCCCAGGAGAAAGCACAGAAUUCUUUGCAGGUCAGUAGUUGAUGAUAAUGAGUCUCAGGAUGAGAGUUUUGCACUCAAAUUGCUUCUGGUAUCAGAGUGAAGAGAAAGCCUUUGUGCCAGUGGUGAUGCCAGAGCACAGCCCAGUGUUCUUGCAGAGCAAAGGAUAAGGUUUUAG